rnacentral:rRNA from 1 species
AUUGAACGCUGGCGGCAGGCCUAACACAUGCAAGUCGAGCGGAUGACGGGAGCUUGCUCCUUGAUUCAGCGGCGGACGGGUGAGUAAUGCCUAGGAAUCUGCCUGGUAGUGGGGGACAACGUUUCGAAAGGAACGCUAAUACCGCAUACGUCCUACGGGAGAAAGCAGGGGACCUUCGGGCCUUGCGCUAUCAGAUGAGCCUAGGUCGGAUUAGCUAGUUGGUGGGGUAAUGGCUCACCAAGGCGACGAUCCGUAACUGGUCUGAGAGGAUGAGCAGUCACACUGGAACUGAGACACAGUCCAGACUCCUACGGGAGGCAGCAGUGGGGAAUAUUGGACAAUGGGCGAAAGCCUGAUCCAGCCAUGCCGCGUGUGUGAAGGAGGUCUUCGGAUUGUAAAGCACUUUAAGUUGGGAGGAAGGGCAGUAAGCUAAUACCUUGCUGUUUUGACGUUACCGACAGAAUAAGCACCGGCUAACUCUGUGCCAGCCGCCGCCGUAACAC